rnacentral:rRNA from 1 species
AUUGAACGCUGGCGGCAGGCCUAACACAUGCAAGUCGAACGGUAACAGGAAGCAGCUUGCUGCUUUGCUGACGAGUGGCGGACGGGUGAGUAAUGUCUGGGAAACUGCCCGAUGGAGGGGGAUAACUACUGGAAACGGUAGCUAAUACCGCAUAACGUCGCAAGACCAAGGAGGGGGACCUUAGGGCCUCUUGCCAUCGGAUGUGCCCAGAUGGGAUUAGCUAGUAGGUGGGGUAACGGCUCACCUAGGCGACGAUCCCUAGCUGGUCUGAGAGGAUGACCAGCCACACUGGAACUGAGACACGGUCCAGACUCCUACGGGAGGCAGCAGUGGGGAAUAUUGCACAAUGGGCGCAAGCCUGAUGCAGCCACGCCGCGUGUAUGAAGAAGGCCUUCGGGUUGUAAAGUACUUUCAGCGGGGAGGAAGGGAGUAAAGUUAAUACCUUUGCUCAUUGACGUUACCCGCAGAAGAAGCACCGGCUAACUCCGUG